rnacentral:misc_RNA from 1 species
AACAUUUCAGCUGGUUGAAGAUUUGAGAAGGGGGGUAUUGUGGAAACAAGGUCAACAGGGGAGUACUGGUGUAAAGAUUAGGAACCACCGCUCUAAAAUAUCGACAGUUCGUUCUUUUUUCAAAUUAUUUGGCUUUGGCACAGUGCCACCUUGACCAUUUCCGAUACUUCUAAAUGACUACUGACUAGACAUAUCUGAAUUAUAUCGUCAGUUUCGUUAUUAGAAAUCCUGUAACAUGUUUGUGGAACUUCAUCAUCAAUCACCUAAUGUUGUAUAAUAUAACAGUUUGACUUUUAUGGUUAAGACGCACAUGCCAAAUGUGGUUGCUGAAGGCAAGCAUUACGGCAAGUAUUAUAUAUAGGUGUCAUUGAUAUUCAAUAAAAUAAAUGGUUACAGGAAACUCGACACUUUUAUGCAGAUAUUUUGAUAUAUUGAGGCUUCACUCUUUUCAGUCUAUUACAAUAGAACGAGAUAUGAGAUAAUUAAAACUCGCAGGUCGGAAUGUUUACGUUGGUGAGGCGGCAGACGAUGGCGCCGGAAGAAAUCCAUAAUUUAACUUUUUUUGACAGUCUAGUCAAGUGUCAUGGGAUCAACAGGUCAUUAGAGGUUGCAUCAAAUGAUCCUUGUGAAGAUGGAAUGCUCCAUGUUGCAAAGUUGGCUCGAUCCUUUGAGUAAUUCCUUUGGUGCUAUACUAAAGGGAUUUUAUGACCACAGGAACAGCCUGUAGAGGAGAUGCCACCUCUGAGAGAGACAUGGCUGGUGACUGACUCUACUCAAUAGCUAAUGCCUAUUGCUAAGCAGGGAUAUUGCAAGUGGUCAAGAUUACAGGGAUAAUUGCUCCUGUUUUGAGGCAUCAGAAACUUCCAUAAAGGAUCAGUCAUCCAUUAUGGUGCAUGUGAAGAACCGGCAUUGUGCAGACAAACACUUUGACUCAACUCACCUUUAUUUACUACAUCAACUGCAGUGGAAGACAGAUCUGAUAAACUGUAUUCUCCUCAUAAAGUUUUCCAGUAAAAUUGUGAGGUACAGUGUUGAUUUGAACUUAUUUCUCAGUCAAAUGAAUUGGAAUCAAAUUAAAUCUUGUUAUAUUUGAGUUUGAUGUCUUUUCAAAAUGUUUGAUAAGUACAUAGUGAUAUUAUAUUCUGCUAAUUGAGAAGAAAUGUUUUCAAGUAUAACUAAUAUAAUUUUACAAUUUUAUUUGGAAGUGGAUAUAAGUUCAAUUUCUUUAAGUAUGUUUUUAGAGGCAAAAAUGGAAAUCCUUAUAUUUAAUAAAUGUAUUUUUAUUAUGUAUUUGUUGUUAUGAGAUGAGUUGGAACAAAAUGAUAUCCUAGCAUAUGAUAGUGCAUAUAUGUUUCAUACAUCACAUUCAUUAGUUAAGUUAUUUGCAUGUUUUCUUUGGUUAUUAUUAUUUUCAUAGCUGAACAUUUGGUGAGAAUAUAUUUUCACUCUUACUCUUCAUUACAGUUUCAUAUAAGUUUGAUAUAUGUAAUUUUAUUUUCAUUCUGUGUUGUCAAACAGCAUAUUUUCAGGCCUUCGUUUGAUCUUUAUAUCUUAGUGAGUAACUUCUGUGGAGGUAAAUCUACCCCUUAAAACUUAAAAUGAAGAUGGUAAAAGCCAAAUCAUUUAUUAGUUGACCUGCCUAGUGAAAGUUUAUUGUAAAAAAUUUAUACAGGAGAAUGCAAGAAUAGAAAGGGGAAUAUUCUGCAGUGUUUAACUUGGAUUGUCUUCAUAUAUUGAUUUGCAGGGAAAGCAAAACUCCAUUGUCUUGGUCAUGUAGGAUAGUUACAUAUCUAAUUCACUGCAGAGCUGCAUUAUUCCAUCAUGCAUGCACGCCACAGUAAAAUGUCAUUAUAUUUUAAUUUUUGAGCCAUGGCCGCCAAGUGCUCCUAGAAAAACCUUGCUCUCAUUACUUGAGUAUGAGUAAAUAGGUAAUGUCUAUGGAAUUAGUGUGAUCUAACUUAGAUAAUCCUUUAAAUGGAUCUGUGUGCUCAAGUGAAAUAGUUUUGUAACUUAGAUUGAAUGGGUUUGAAUUCUUGUCAAAGAGGUUAGUUUUGUAUCUAUUUCAAUACUCAACUGUAUCAUUCUAUCAUACAUGUACAUGUUAUAUUGAAAAUAGGCAGAAAUAAAAUUUAUUUUUGUA